rnacentral:sRNA from 1 species
CACCUAAACCGGUAAAAUGGCAUGGUGAAAAUAAAUCCACGCGGGUAAAAACGGCUACACAAGCCGCCUACUCGCGUGGUCUGUGCCCGAAAGGGUGCAGGGCAGUUCCGAAAGGAAUUGUC